rnacentral:rRNA from 1 species
GAUGAACGCUGGCGGGAUGCUUUACACAUGCAAGUCGAACGGCAGCACGGACUUCGGUCUGGUGGCGAGUGGCGAACGGGUGAGUAAUAUAUCGGAACGUAUCCAAUAAUGGGGGAUAACUAAUCGAAAGGUUGGCUAAUACCGCAUACGCCCUACGGGGGAAAGCUAGGGACCUUCGGGCCUGGCGUUAAUGGAGCGGCUGAUAUCUGAUUAGCUAGUAGGUGAGGUAAAGGCUCACCUAGGCGACGAUCAGUAGCUGGUCUGAGAGGACGACCAGCCACACUGGAACUGAGACACGGUCCAGACUCCUACGGGAGGCAGCAGUGGGGAAUUUUGGACAAUGGGCGAAAGCCUGAUCCAGCCAUUCCGCGUGAGUGAAGAAGGCCUUCGGGUUGUAAAGCUCUUUCGCAAGGGAAGAAAACUUAGGCGCUAAUAUCGCUUGAGGUUGACGGUACCUUGAUAAGAAGCACCGGCUAACUACGUGCCAGCAGCCGCGGUAAUACGUAGGGUGCGAGCGUUAAUCGGAAUUACUGGGCGUAAAGCGUGCGCAGGCGGUUUUGUAAGUCAGAUGUGAAAUCCCCGAGCUCAACUUGGGAACUGCGUUUGAAACUAUAAGACUAGAAUAUGUCAGAGGGGGGUAGAAUUCCACGUGUAGCAGUGAAAUGCGUAGAGAUGUGGAGGAAUACCAAUGGCGAAGGCAGCCCCCUGGGAUAAUAUUGACGCUCAUGCACGAAAGCGUGGGGAGCAAACAGGAUUAGAUACCCUGGUAGUCCACGCCCUAAACGAUGUCUACUAGUUGUUGGUGGAGUAAAAUCCAUGAGUAACGCAGCUAACGCGUGAAGUAGACCGCCUGGGGAGUACGGUCGCAAGAUUA